rnacentral:rRNA from 1 species
CUCGUAGGUGGUUAGUUACGUCGGAUGUGAAAUCUAGGGCUCAACCCUAGACCUGCAUCCGAUACGGGCUAGCUUGAGUUUGGUAGGGGAGACUGGAAUUCCUGGUGUAGCGGUGGAAUGCGCAGAUAUCAGGAGGAACACCAAUGGCGAAGGCAGGUCUCUGGGCCAAUACUGACACUGAGGAGCGAAAGUGUGGGGAGCGAACA